ensembl:processed_transcript Gm12610 predicted gene 12610
UUGCACCCAGAGACCAAAGGACACCGUGAUUUGAUCCCCUGAGCAGAAUGCUUUCCAUGUUCCAGGCAGUGUGACAGUGUCUCUCACGUGAGAAAGAAACAGGGAUUCUCUGUAUAGCCCUGCUGUCCUGGAACUCAUGCUGCAGAUGAGGCUGACCCUUGAAGUGAGAGAGCUGCUUGCCCCUGCCUUCUUACUGCUGAGAUUAAAGGUCUGUGUAUCAUUUUUGAGAUAAACUCAGUGUAAACUAUAAGGCAAAGACAUGUUCGCAUUUAAUCUACAUAUAACACCCAGCAUGGAGAGAAUCAGAAACCAAGAGCAUGGUGUACUCAGUCUAACCCACAGGUUAUGGAGGCAGGGCUGACACAGCGACCUCCUCAUGUGGAAUCACCCGGAACCAUUUCUGUUCCAGCUCUUCUGUUUUUUGGCAAGUGCAUGUGAGUUUCUGGAUGACUUAUACUGAUUUUAGAUCAAGCAUGAGACUCAGAAUAGUUACUGGGUGACAUAAAAUGACAGAAACACCUUUGUACUGAGCGGAACUUCUGUGUUGGUGAAAUGAUAAAUAUAAAUGCAAACGAAAACUA